rnacentral:rRNA from 1 species
CGCUGGCGGCGUGCCUAAUACAUGCAAGUCGAACGCACUUUCGUUAGAUUGAAGAAGCUUGCUUCUGAUUGAUAACAUUUGAGUGAGUGGCGGACGGGUGAGUAACACGUGGGUAACCUGCCCUAAAGUGGGGGAUAACAUUUGGAAACAGAUGCUAAUACCGCAUAAAACCUAGCACCGCAUGGUGCAAGGUUGAAAGAUGGUUUCGGCUAUCACUUUAGGAUUGGACCCGCGGUGCAUUAGUUAGUUGGUGAGGUAAAGGCUCACCAAGACCGUGAUGCAUAGCCGACCUGAGAGGGUAAUCGGCCACACUGGGACUGAGACACGGCCCAGACUCCUACGGGAGGCAGCAGUAGGGAAUCUUCCACAGUGGACGAAAGUCUGAUGGAGCAACGCCGCGUGAGUGAAGAAGGUUUUCGGAUCGUAAAACUCUGUUGUUGGAGAAGAACGUAUUUGAUAGUAACUGAUCAGGUAGUGACGGUAUCCAACCAGAAAGCCACGGCUAACUACGUG